rnacentral:rRNA from 1 species
CGGGUGAGUAACACGUGGGCAACCUGCCUGUAAGACCGGAAUAACCCCGGGAAACCGGGGCUAAUGCCGGAUAACACCUACCUUCACCUGAAGGAAGGUUAAAAGAUGGCUUCUCGCUAUCACUUACAGAUGGGCCCGCGGCGCAUUAGCUAGUUGGUGAGGUAAUAGCUCACCAAGGCGACGAUGCGUAGCCGACCUGAGAGGGUGAUCGGCCACACUGGGACUGAGACACGGCCCAGACUCCUACGGGAGGCAGCAGUAGGGAAUCUUCCGCAAUGGACGAAAGUCUGACGGAGCAACGCCGCGUGAACGAUGAAGGUCUUCGGAUCGUAAAGUUCUGUUGUUAGGGAAGAACAAGUACCGUGCGAACAGAGCGGUACCUUGACGGUACCUAACGAGGAAGCCCCGGCUAACUACGUGCCAGCAGCCGCGGUAAUACGUAGGGGGCAAGCGUUGUCCGGAAUUAUUGGGCGUAAAGCGCGCGCAGGUGGUUUCUUAAGUCUGAUGUGAAAGCCCACGGCUCAACCGUGGAGGGUCAUUGGAAACUGGGGAACUUGAGGACAGAAGAGGAGAGUGGAAUUCCACGUGUAGCGGUGAAAUGCGUAGAUAUGUGGAGGAACACCAGUGGCGAAGGCGACUCUCUGGUCUGUUUCUGACGCUGAGGUGCGAAAGCGUGGGUAGCAAACAGGAUUAGAUACCCUGGUAGUCCACGCCGUAAACGAUGAGUGCUAGGUGUUAGGGGGCUUCCACCCCUUAGUGCUGAAGUUAACGCAUUAAGCACUCCGCCUGGGGAGUACGGCCGCAAGGCUGAAACUCAAAGGAAUUGACGG